rnacentral:misc_RNA from 1 species
CCGAGUGCGGACCCCUCGCGGGUCCAACCUCCCACCCGUGUCUCUUGUAUACCCUGUUGCUUUGGCGGGCCCACCGGGGCCACCCCGGUCGCCGGGGGGCGUGUUCGCCCCUUGGCCCGCGCCCGCCAGAGCGCUCUGUGAACCCUUAUGAAGAUGGACUGUCUGAGUGUCUUGAUAAUAAUCA